rnacentral:rRNA from 1 species
GACGAACGCUGGCGGCGUGCCUAAUACAUGCAAGUUGAGCGCUGAAGGUUGGUACUUGUACCAACUGGAUGAGCAGCGAACGGGUGAGUAACGCGUGGGGAAUCUGCCUUUGAGCGGGGGACAACAUUUGGAAACGAAUGCUAAUACCGCAUAAAAACUUUAAACACAAGUUUUAAGUUUGAAAGAUGCAAUUGCAUCACUCAAAGAUGAUCCCGCGUUGUAUUAGCUAGUUGGUGAGGUAAAGGCUCACCAAGGCGAUGAUACAUAGCCGACCUGAGAGGGUGAUCGGCCACACUGGGACUGAGACACGGCCCAAACUCCUACGGGAGGCAGCAGUAGGGAAUCUUCGGCAAUGGACGAAAGUCUGACCGAGCAACGCCGCGUGAGUGAAGAAGGUUUUCGGAUCGUAAAACUCUGUUGGUAGAGAAGAACGUUGGUGAGAGUGGAAAGCUCAUCAAGUGACGGUAACUACCCAGAAAGGGACGGCUAACUACGUGCCAGCAGCCGCGGUAAUACGUAGGUCCCGAGCGUUGUCCGGAUUUAUUGGGCGUAAAGCGAGCGCAGGUGGUUUAUUAAGUCUGGUGUAAAAGGCAGUGGCUCAACCAUUGUAUGCAUUGGAAACUGGUAGACUUGAGUGCAGGAGAGGAGAGUGGAAUUC